UACGUAGGUGGCAAGCGUUGUCCGGAUUUACUGGGUGUAAAGGGCGCGUAGGCGGGUAGGCAAGUCAGAUGUGAAUGCAUGGGCUUAACCCAUGAACUGCAUUUGAAACCGUUUAUCUUGAGUAUCGGAGAGGCAAGCGGAAUUCCUAGUGUAGCGGUGAAAUGCGUAGAUAUUAGGAGGAACACCAGUGGCGAAGGCGGCUUGCUGGACGACAACUGACGCUGAGGCGCGAAAGCGUGGGGAGCAAACA
rnacentral:rRNA from 1 species